rnacentral:misc_RNA from 1 species
AACUGAUACUACCUGCGGGAACCUGCGGAGGGAUCAUUACUGAAGUGAUUUGGGGAUGCUGCUGGCCCUCUCUCAAGGGGGGGCACUGUGCACUCCUCGAAACAAUUCACAAUUUCCAUCACACCCCUUGUGCACACCUUGUAGGCACCCAAACCCACCUCCGGGUGGUGGGGUCCUAUGUAUUCCUUCAUCUCACACUCUGUUGAAUGGUGCCAUGGGACGCAUCUAAAGGAUUAUUUG